CAGGGGGGAGGAAUUUUGCAGAAUUCGGCCUUCGGCCUUCGGAUUGUAAAGCUUCGUUCUCAGGGAAGAACGGAUACAGGAGGAAAUGCUUGUAUACGGACGGUACCUGAUAGAGAAAGCCACGGCUAACUACGUG
rnacentral:rRNA from 1 species